UUGUGAUGAAACCCAAACUGAAAUUUAGCUGGAAUUACCGGCAGACUGUACAGUGGUGAUCGUUGGUUUUCUGAAC
ensembl:snoRNA